UUUCUCGCCUCUAUUCUCUCCUGCGAGCAAGGGCUGGUUUUAGCUCCUCUUGUUUCGCAAAGUUAGUGUUCAGACCGCCAGCUGACUCCUGGGAAGAAGCAUUAAUGGAAUUUCCUCCAGUAUUUUCAUAGCAACCUUCAGAUGAAAGUGUAGAACUCUCAGCUCCUCCUGCAUCAUGACUGCCUGGGGCUGCCAUGUUCCUGCCUUGAUGAUAAUGGACUGAACCUCUAAACCUGACUGGUUGUUCUAUUUCUGAGAUCUCUGAGACCCAGCCCACCAGGAACACACAAAUGUGGAACCGAGAUAGGCUGAGGACUUAUUAAACAGAAUUCUGCUGUUCCUAUCCCAGGGUUGGACCAAUGUGUAGAAAAUUGCUUAUGGGAUUCUUUGAAUGACUUUUUCAUUGCGGGAAAUAUUAAAAAUGAACCUGCCAACCUUCCACACUCCUGCUUCUUUCAAGCCACCAACUCAAGAGAUCUGUCUCUGCCUCCUACGUGCUGGAAUCAAAGGUAUGUGACACCAUGCCUUGCUUGUCUUUUUAUGGACACUGAUUUUUAUCUACUUUUGAUAGCUGCUGAGGUAGGUUUAAAUCUGAGAAUCUGCCUAGCUUUUCCAUGGUGACGAUCCAUUUUAAGUUCUUACAAAUAACAACAGAGCUCUACUUUCUCUGUGUGUUUUCCAACAUUCCUAUUACCUACUUUUAAAAAUCAUAGUCAUCUUAGGAGAAGGGUUAUUUCGUGGGUUUUUAAAUUUUUCUCUUGGGGACCUAGGAUAAGUUUCCUUAAGCAAAGUGUUGCCAAAUGACUUCUGCAGCUUCUGUUUGUCACACUUUUAUUCUUUGUUUGGUUUUGUUUUUGUUUUUUGAGACUGUGUACUGGCUGGUUUUGUGUGUCAACUUGACUCAAGCUGGAGUUAUCACAGAGAAAGGAGCUUCCCUUGAGGAAAUGCCUCUAUAAAAUCCCGAUUAAUGAUCAAGGGGGAGAGUCCAGCCCAUGGAGGGUGGUGCCAUCCCUGGGCUGGUAGUCCUGGGUUCUAUAAGAAAGCAAGCUGGCAAGCCAGAGGAAGCAAUCCAGUAAGCAGCACCCCUCCAUGGCCUCUGCAUCAGCUCCUGCCUCCAGGUUCCUGCCUUGUGUGACUUCCUGUCCUGACUUCCUUUGGUGAUGAACAGCAAUGUGGAAACGAAGAUCCAUCUUUAAUAUGGGCCACACCUUCUUCUAGCAGCCUUAUAAAGGACAUGAAAAAAGAAUGCUUGCUUGCUCUUGCUCUUCCUAGAAAUUACUUCACUGCCAUUAGAGCCUACUUCUUCAGGAUUCUGCUUAUACUGAAAACCAUGUGGGACAUCCAGCCUUGUGGACUGAACAACUUCUGGCUUCUUGGACCUUUCACUGUUAGUCAGCCAUUGUUGGACCACAGCCUAUAAGUCGUUCUAAUAAAUCUCCUACAUAUA
rnacentral:lncRNA from 1 species